rnacentral:rRNA from 1 species
GAUGAACGCUGGCGGCGUGCUUAACACAUGCAAGUCGAGCGGAAAGACCCUGCUUGCAGGGUACUCGAGUGGCGAACGGGUGAGUAACACGUAGGUGAUCUGCCCUGCACUUCGGGUUAAGCCUGGGAAACUGGGUCUAAUACCGGCUAGGAGCCAUUUUUAGUGUGAUGGUUGGAAAGUUUUUUCGGUGUAGGAUGAGCUCGCGGCCUAUCAGCUUGUUGGUGGGGUAAUGGCCUACCAAGGCGGCGAGGGGUAGCCGGCCUGAGAGGGUGGACGGCCACACUGGGACUGAGAGACGGCAGAGAUGCCGACGGGAGGCAGAUGUGGGGAAUCUUGCACAAGGGGCGCCAGCUUGAUGAAGCGGGGCUGCGUGGGGGAUGACGGUCUUAGUGUUGUAAAAUACUUUCGCUAGGGACGAAGCUUUUUGUGACGGUACCUAGAGAAGAAGCACCGGCUAACUACGUG